rnacentral:siRNA from 1 species
AGGUGUAUGGAAGAUGGGACACGU